UGGGUCUUUUAAUUUUGUGUUUCAUCAAAGUAGCUCCUUUUUUAAAAGCCUUCACGUCCUUAUUUGUGAUGGAGUGGCCUCUAUGCUUGUCAAGGAAGAAGUUGAUGCCCACUCCAGGUUAUUUAUCUUUGCGGGCCGAUAUUGAAAACGGAUUCUUCGUCUUCAAACGAAAGGUUUUUGGUUGGUACUUUGAACUCACUUCUCAGGGGGAAGGAGAUCAUCAGCCAAUAUAGUGACAUUACAUCUGAAUGCUUUCUGGAUUGAGCAUUCAUUCUUGUUGCAAAAGAAGCUGGUGAGCUUGCAAGAGCCUUGAUAUAUCAGCCGUGUUGAUGUUGUUCCUUGUCUGCAGCGCAAAGGAAGGCAUGUACGCUGCUUGAUAAUGCUGAUCCAGCCUAAUUCUUUGCUUCUUUCAGACACAUGCAAGAGGAGCACACGCCAAUCAUCGGGAACCAGAUGAUUGAUAUUGAGCUGCAUAGGGCGGAUUACGAUUUGCUUCGAGUCGAUGGCCGCGGCUUCAAAAAGUGAGUGGAGGAACGGAAGCUUCCGACGUUCUCGAAGAGGCAUGGGUUUGAGAAGCCGAAUGAUGAGCGAGCCUCGCAGCUAAUGGAGCACUACAGGAACACAAUGGGAUCAGCGAUGAGUACAGUUUCAUCAUUCGCAAGAAUUCAUGUCAACAAACAAAGAACAUAAGUAUUGCGUUGGUGCAAGUUCUUCCCCAAGAAAAAGCUCAGCACCUGUCUUUGAUGCAUACCCAACAGAUUCAAUACUUCGAGACUAACUGGCAUGGCGUCAACUGGACUGCAAACGCUGAUGCGAACUUCAUCAACUACUGUUCUUUGGUUCAAGUCACAUCAACAACGUCAACACAUGCUUCUGGAUGCUGGGACUGGAUUCCAGUAUGGCCCACAGCAAACUGAAGGUAGUGAAGAUUCAUCUCAUGAUACUGCUGCAGAAUGACCAUCUUGAAUGAUUUCCCAGGGAACGAGGUCGAUCGACAAGCAGGAGCUCUUACAGUGAACUUCCUGCAAAAUACCGCAAAGGACUUGGAUUGCUCUUUGCCUCAGCUUAUGCCUGUCAAAUUGAGAGUCCCUACACCGUGCUCUUUAAA